rnacentral:lncRNA from 1 species
CCUCAGAUCACAGUGUGCUUUGACAUUGAUGCCAAUUGUAUCUUGAAUGUUUCUGCUGAGGACAAGACCACUGGACAAAAGAACAAGAUCACCAUCACCAAUGACAAGGGCAGACUUUCCAAGGAGGAGAUUGAGAAGAUGGUUCAGGAAGCAGAGAAGUACAAGUCUGAGGAUGAAGAGCACAAGAAGAAGGUUGAGGCAAAGAAUGCUUUGGAGAACUAUGCAUACAACAUGAGGAACACCGUGAAGGAUGAGAAGAUCGCAUCUAAACUGCCUGAAGCUGACAAAAAGAAGAUUGAAGAUGCCAUUGAGUCAGCCAUUCAGUGGCUU